rnacentral:rRNA from 1 species
AUGAACGCUGGCUACAGGCUUAACACAUGCAAGUCGAGGGGAAACGACGGGGAAGCUUGCUUCCCCGGGCGUCGACCGGCGCACGGGUGAGUAACGCGUAUCCAACCUGCCUCUGACUGAGGGAUAACCCGUCGAAAGUCGGCCUAAUACCUCAUGGCAUCGUCUGCGGGCAUCCAACGACGAUUAAAGAUUUCAUCGGUCAGGGAUGGGGAUGCGUCUGAUUAGCUUGGUGGCGGGGUAACGGCCCACCAAGGCUUCGAUCAGUAGGGGGCAUGAGAGGGUGACCAGCAUUAUUGGGACUGGGAUACCGCCCACACUCCUGCGGGAGGCAGCAGUGGGGGAUAUUGCGCAAUGGGCGGAAGCCUGAUGCAGCAACGCCGCGUGCGGGAUGACGGCCUUCGGGUUGUAAACCGCUUUCGCCUGUGACGAAGCGUGAGUGACGGUAAUGGGUAAAGAAGCACCGGCUAACUACGUG